rnacentral:rRNA from 1 species
UACGAAGGGGGCUAGCGUUGCUCGGAAUCACUGGGCGUAAAGGGUGCGUAGGCGGGUCUUUAAGUCGGGGUGAAAUCCUGGAGCUCAACUCCAGAACUGCCUUUGAUACUGAAGAUCUUGAGUUCGGGAGAGGUGAGUGGAACUGCGAGUGUAGAGGUGAAAUUCGUAGAUAUUCGCAAGAACACCAGUGGCGAAGGCGGCUCACUGGCCCGAUACUGACGCUGAGGCACGAAAGCGUGGGAGCAAACAGGG